GACGAACGCUGGCGGCGUGCUUAACACAUGCAAGUCGAACGGAAAGGCCCUGCUUUUGUGGGGUGCUCGAGUGGCGAACGGGUGAGUAACACGUGAGUAACCUGCCCUUGACUUUGGGAUAACUUCAUGAAACUGGGGCUAAUAACGGAUAGGAGCACCUGCUGCAUGGUGGGGGUUGGAAAGUUUCGGCGGUUGGGGAUGGACUCGCGGCUUAUCAGCUUGUUGGUGGGGUAGUGGCUUACCAAGGCUUUGACGGGUAGCCGGCCUGAGAGGGUGACCGGCCACAUUGGGACUGGGAUGCGGCCCAGACUCCUACGGGAGGCAGCAGUGGGGAAUAUUGCACGAUGGGCGGAGGCCUGAUGCAGCAACGCCGCGUGCGGGAUGACGGCCUUCGGGUUGUAAACCGCUUUCGCCUGUGACGAAGCGUGAGUGACGGUAAUGGGUAAAGAAGCACCGGCUAACUACGUG
rnacentral:rRNA from 1 species